rnacentral:rRNA from 1 species
CGAAUGGGGAAACCCACCACUUUAUGUGGUACUUUAAACUGAAUACAUAGGUUUAAAGAGACAACCUGGAGAACUGAAACAUCUAAGUAACCAGAGGAAAAGAAAUCAAUUGAGAUUCCGUUAGUAGUGGCGAGCGAACGCGGACUAGGCCAGUAAUUUUGUUAAAAAAAUUUGAAUAGUUUGGAAAUGCUAACCAUAGAGGGUGAUAGUCCCGUAUGAGCAAUGUUUAACAAAAUUCUUGAGUAAAGCGGGACACGAGAAAUCCUGCUCGAAUAUAGGGGGACCACCCUCUAAGCCUAA